rnacentral:rRNA from 1 species
UACGUAGGCAGCAAGCGUUGUUCGGAGUUACUGGGCGUAAAGGGUGUGUAGGCGGUCUUCUAAGUUUGGUGUGAAAUCUCCCGGCUCAACUGGGAGGGUGCGCCGAAAACUGGGAGGCUAGAGUACUGGAUGGGAGAGUGGAAUUCCUGGUGUAACGGUGAAAUGCGUAGAUAUCAGGAGGAACACCGGUGGUGUAGACGGCUCUCUGGACAGUAACUGACGCUGAGACACGAAAGCGUGGGUAGCAAACAGG